rnacentral:rRNA from 1 species
AGUGAACGCUGGCGGUAGGCCUAACGCAUGCAAGUCGAACGGCAGCACAGUAAGAGCUUGCUCUUACGGGUGGCGAGUGGCGGACGGGUGAGGAAUACAUCGGAAUCUACUUUUUCGUGGGGGAUAACGUAGGGAAACAUACGCUAAUACCGCAUACGACCUACGGGUGAAAGCAGGGGAUCUUCGGACCUUGCGCGAUUGAAUGAGCCGAUGUCGGAUUAGCUAGUUGGCGGGGUAAAGGCCCACCAAGGCGACGAUCCGUAGCUGGUCUGAGAGGAUGAUCAGCCACACUGGAACUGAGACACGGUCCAGACUCCUACGGGAGGCAGCAGUGGGGAAUAUUGGACAAUGGGCGCAAGCCUGAUCCAGCCAUACCGCGUGUGUGAAGAAGGCCUUCGGGUUGUAAAGCCCUUUUGUUGGGAAAGAAAAGCAGCAGGUUAAUACCCCGCUGUUCUGACGGUACCCAAAGAAUAAGCACCGGCUAACUUCGUG